rnacentral:tRNA from 1 species
GGUUCUAUGGUGUCAUGGUUAGCAAUCUGGACUUCAAUCCAGCAAUCCGAGUUCAAAUCUCAGUAGAACCU